rnacentral:ncRNA from 2 species
AGAUAAAAAGGGCAAACCGGUAGAAAUGCCGGGACGCAAAAACAUAGGACCUAAGCUGAUAACACAGUAUGGUAGCCGAUUGCAUGG